rnacentral:rRNA from 1 species
GCCCAGACUCCUACGGGAGGCAGCAGUGAGGAAUAUUGGUCAAUGGCCGGAAGGCUGAACCAGCCAAGCCGCGUGAAGGACGAAGGUGCCAAGCAUUGUAAACUUCUUUUGUCAAGGGACAAAAUCAGGCUCGAGAGCCUGACCGAGGGUACUUGAAGAAAAAGCAUCGGCUAACUCCGUGCCAGCAGCCGCGGUAAUACGGAGGAUGCGAGCGUUAUCCGGAUUUAUUGGGUUUAAAGGGUGCGCAGGCGGCCUGUUAAGUCGGGGGUAAAAGCCGGGGGCCCAACCCCGGCGAGCCGUUGAAACUGGCGGGCUGGAGUUGGAGAGAAGUACGCGGAAUGCGCGGUGUAGCGGUGAAAUGCUUAGAUAUCACGCAGAGCUCCGAUUGCGAAGGCAGCAUACCGGCGCUCAACUGACGCUCAUGCACGAAAGCGUGGGUAUCGAACAGGAUUAGAUACCCUUGUAA